UUUCCACCCCCCCUACGCUGAAACCCCUCUCCUCUCUCUCUCUCUACCUCGCUCGCUCUCCGGCCGACUGUCCCUCUCCAGCCUGCCGUCUAUUUCCUCUCCUUUUUCUGGCAGUUUCUCUAUCUCCGACAGCCUCUUUGGCGGUGUUCUCUGUCUCCGGCGGUGGAAUCCAUCUCCGGCGAGGUUUGUUUGUAUUGUCUCUCCCUCUCUCUUUCUCUGCUAACAUCCCCCCCCAAAACCGCCGUCCCCCCUCUCUCUCUCUCUCUCUCUCUGCUCAAAUUCCCCCCAAACUGUCGUCCCCCCUCUCUCUCCCUCUCUCUCUCUGUUCAAAUUCCCCCCCCCCCCCCCCCCCACAAACGGCCGCCCCCCUCUCUCUCUCCCGCUCGCUCGCCGGUCGAGCCCCUUCCUCUCCCCCAUAUUUUUUUCCUCCCCCAAACAACUGCCGCCCCCUCUCUCUCUCUCUCUCUCCCUCCCGCUCGCCAGUCGAGCCCCUCCCUUUCCCUCAGUUUUUUUUUCCUCCCCCCAAACUGGGGAAGUGAAGAUUGGUGAUCUCGGGCAAUUCUCCGGAAGUCACAUGCGGCUCACUGUGUUGAGUUCAUGGCUCCUGACUGUUGGGCCUGCAAAGAAGGCGAAGCAGAAAGAAGAACCGAAGAAAGAUGAGAAGGAAGAGCCGUGGAAAGAUUCUGUCCUCUCCCAUGGUCACAUACCAUUAUAUCCCACAUCUUGAAGAGUAUCCAAACAGUUGUGUCAUAUCCUGAUUGUAAGACUUGAGAGGGAACAACUGAGAGUUAUUGAAUGCUUUGGUGAUGAAAUUGGUAUGUUUUAGGAACCCAUUUGAGAUAAACAUGUGUAGAGUGUGUAUAAUGGAAUAUAUUGUGAUUGAAAUUCAGGGAAAAUGAAUAAAUGGAUUUUGGAAUAGAA